CCCCGCACCUCUCCACUUUGAGCAGCAUCCCAGCGUUUGACCAGGAUGAGCAGGAUUCGUGUUUUACAAGUGUUCACAUUUUUAGAUUCAGCUGGAGAAACAAGCAUUCUUUAGCAAAUGGGAUAAGAUAGCUUUAGGACCUGGACCAGACACAUCAAUACAGCACCCUGUCUAUUCCUUUCUCAUAGUAAAAGCCAGGGCAAUUGCCCAAGUCAGGGUGGCUGGAAACAUCUUUCAAUCUGUUAGAGAAUAAAAAGCUCUUCACCUCAAGCUGCUUGAUUGAAGAGCUUUUAGCUGCAGAACUGCUACUGAGACUGGAGGUCAUUUAAGGGGUUCAUCUGGUUAGUAACAAUGAGCACUGUGCUUGAUGGGUAAGCCAGGGGUGAAUCACAGAAGCUGAAAUACCUCUCUCCACGAUCUACAGGAUACUCAUCCUUCGUGCUCCAAGUAUUCCAGAAAUGUGAGGAGGUGGCUUCGAAAUGUUCAGCUGUGCCAAUGGACCUCGGAGCACAUGGAUUUCAAGCUAUGACUACUGAGCUGUCCUGACUGUACUGAACCUAUUUAAACACACUUGCUUCUCAGGAUUCAUUGCUCCUACAGAUAGCUACGGUAGAAUAGAGAAACUGUGUGGGACUCGUUUAAGGUCAGACUAAUGAGGCUUUUGCGUGGAGAAAUGAUGGAAAGAGGUUCAAGAGACUUUUUCAGUAUCACUAAUAGCAAGAGAAAUACAAACCAGAGCUGCUGUUGCGGGGAGCCUCGUUCUACACAGAAGGCACACUGUCAAGACUAAAGAGGACUCAGGUUUGACUCCCAGCACCUGUGUCAAGCAGCCCACUACCACCUGGAAGUCUAGCUCCAUGUUGUGACUGUCACCAACAACCGGCAUCUUCCCACCUUUGACUUGUACGACGGACAUGGCCAAGGC